rnacentral:lncRNA from 1 species
AGUUGUGGCCGCGACUGCCCGGGAGUGGCGCUUGCCGCGGUCCGGGCUUGCACCCCGCUGGGCAAAGUACCCGGGGCUGUCACACGGCGAGCUGAGCCCUGGGCCGGCGGGUGAGGUUCCCCAAGCGGCGAUGCCCCUGGCUCCCUGUUCCGCCAUUGCGAGCCGUUAGGGCCAAGCUGGAGGGAGGGCGGCGAGGCGCGGCUGCCGAACAGCAAGCCAUUGGAGAGUCCUGAGCAGAGAAAGGACUGACCUGCCUCAUGUUUUAAAUCUGGCUGCCGUAUUGGAAGUAGAUUGGAGGAAAAAAAAGUGGAAGCCCUGGGACCCACCAUCAUGAACAAUCGGGGAGAAGACAAGAGGCCAGCAAAGGAAUGAACACAGGGACGCAUGAGACAUUUGGUGCCGAAGACCUGGGUCAGCGGGACUCCUUUGGGAGACCAGUCCCCCAUCCUCACCCUCACUCUGUGAAGAGAUCCACCUACGACCUUGGGUCCUCAGACCAACCAGCCUAAGGAACAUCUCACCUAUUUUAAAUCGGGUAAGCGGCCUCUUUCUACUCUCUUCUCCAACCUCUCUCACUAUCCCUCAACCUCUUUUCCUUUCAAUCUUGGCACCACCCUUCAGUCUCUCCCUUCUCUUAAUUUCAAUUCCUUUCAUUUUCUGGUAGAGACAAAGGAGACACAUUUUAUCUGUGGACCCAAAACUCCGGCACAGGUCACAGACUCAGGAACACAGCCUUCCCUUGGUGUUUAAUCAUUGUGGGGAUGCCUGCCUGAUUAUUCACCCACAUUCCGUUGGUGUCUGAUCUCCGUGGGGAUGCCUAACUUGGUCAUUCACCCACAUUCCCUUGGUGGCAAGUUAAUUGUAGGGACAAUUGCUUUGGCUGCUCACCCACAUUGCAGCCCAGGGCUGCUCAUGUCACCCCUUCUCUCCGUGUCUCUACCCUCUCUUUUCUCUCCACUUUCCUGGGGGGCAAGCACCCCCCACCCCUUCUCUCUGUGUCUCUGCCCCUUUUCCACUUUCCUGGGGGGCAAGAACCUCCCACCCCUUCUCUCCGUGUCUCUGCCCCUUUUCCAUUUUCCUAGGGGGGCAAGUACCCCCCACCCCUUCUCUCCAUGUCUCUGCCCCUUUUCCACUUUCCUGGGGGGCAAGCACCUCCCACCCCUUUUCCACUUUCCUGGGGGGCAAGCACCUCCCACCCCAUUUCCACUUUCCUGCGGGGGCAAGCACCUUCUUUUCAAGGGCCUGUUUCCCUUGCCUCCAUAACUGUUGUGAGUAUUGACAGCCAGGCUUCUAAACCUCUUAAAACUCCCCAACUCUGGUGCCAACUUGGACAACAUUCUUUAAUGAACUCCUUUUUAGUUAUCCCACCUGCCCAGCUCGCUUAUUAGUUCAAAACAUUGUAACUAAAUUAUCUGCUUCCCUGACUAUUCCUGGGUUAAAGCCACACCUCACUACUGCCUUUUGCCCCAGUUCAAUGCCUCCUGCACAUCCUCUCCUUGUAUCUCCCCACCUUAAUCCACAAGUGUAGGACACCUCUACUCCCUCCUUGGCGAUGGAUGAUGCACCCCUUACCAUCCUAUUAAAAUCUAAUCACCCUUACCCUGCUCAGUGCCAAUAUCCCAUCCCACAGCACGCUUUAAAAGGAUUAAAGCCUGUUAUCACUUGCCUGUUACAGCAUGGCCUUUUAAAGCCUAUAAACUCUCCUUACAAUUCCCCCAUUUUACCUGUCCAAAAACUGGACAAGUCUCACAGGUUAGUUCAGGAUCUGCGUUUAUCAACCAAAUUGUCUUGCCUAUCCACCCCAUGGUGCCAAAGCCAUAUACUCUCCUAUCCUCAGUACCUCCCUCCACAACCCCUCCAUAACCCAUUAUUCUGUUCUGGAUCUCAAACAUGCUUUCUUUACUAUUCCUUGCACCCUUCAUCCCAGCCUCUCUUUGCUUUCACUUGGACUGACCCUGACACCCAUCAGGCUCAGCAAAUUACCUGGGCUGUACUGCCACAAGGCUUCACGGACAGCCCCCAUUACUUCAGUCAAGCCCAAAUUUCUUCCUCAUCCAUUACCUAUCUCGACAUAGUUCUUCAUGAAAACACACGUGCUCUCCCUGCUGAUUGUGUCUGGCUAAUCUCCCAAACCCCAACCCCUUCUACAAAACAACAACUCCUUUCCUUCCUAGGCAUGGUUGGAUACUUUCACCUUUAGAUACCUGGUUUUGCCAUCCUAAUAAAACCAUUAUAUAAACUCACAAAACCAAACCUAGCUGACCCCAUAGAUCCUAAAUCCUUUCACCACUCCUCUUUCUGUUCCUUAAAAACAGCCCUAGAAGCUGCCCCCACACUAGCUCUCCCUAACUCAUCCCAACCCUUUUCAUUACACACAGCCAAAGUACAGGGCUGUGCAGUCAAAAUUCUUACACAAGAGCUGGGACUGCACCCUGUAGCCUUUCUGUCCAAACAACUUGACCUUACUCUUUUUGGCUGGCCCCCACCCCCAUGACUGUAUCUCUCUGAUCCACCUGACAUUCACUCCAUUUCCCCGUAUUUCCUUCUUUCAUGUUCCUCACCCUGAUCACACUUGGUUUAUUGAUGGCAGUUCCACCAGGCCUAACCGCCACUCACCAGCAAAGGCAGGCUAUGCUAUAGUAUCUUCCAUAUCUAUCACUGAGGCUACCACUCUGCCCUCCUCCACUACCUCUCAGCAAGCCAAAUUCAUUGCCUUAACUCGAACACUCACUCUUGCAAAGGAAUUAUGCAUCAAUAUUUAUACAGACUGUAAAUAUGCCUUCCAUAUCCUGCACCACCAUGCUGUUAUAUGGGCUGAAAGAGGUUUCCUCACUAUGCAAGGGUCCUCCAUCAUUAAUGCCUCUUUAAUAAAAACUCUUCUCAAGGCCGCUUUACUUCCCAAGAAAGCUGGAGUCAUACACUGCAAGGGCCACUAAAAGACAUCAGAUCCCAUUGCUCAGGGCAACGCUUAUGCUGAUAAGGUAGCUAAAGAAGCACCUAGUGUUCCAACUUCUGUCCCUCAUGGCCAGUUUUUCUCCUUCUAAUUGGUCACUCCUAUUUACUCUCCUACUGAAGUUUCCACCUAUCAAUCUCUUCCCGCACAAGGCAAAUUGUUCUUGGACCAAGGAAAAUAUCUCCUUCCAGCCUCACAUGCCCAUUCUAUUCUGUUGUCAUUUCAUAACCUCUUCCACGGUAGGUUACAAGCCGUUAGUCUGCCUCUUCAAACCUCUCAUUUCCUUUCCAUCGUGAAUAUCUAUCCCCAGUCCUCCACUCUUGACUCCCUCUUGGAGUGGAUAGAUGAUCUUUGCUGACAGGACACAUUCCAACACUUUCACCCUGAUGAAGUCCUAUUCUUUACUUUUAUACUCACUCUUAUUCUUGUUCCCAUUCUUAUUGCCACCCUCUACCUCUCCCCAGCUAUCUCCACCACACUAUCAAUUUCACUCACUCUCUCCUAGCUAUUUCUAAUCCUUCUUUAACAAACAAUUGCUGGCUUUGCAUUUCUCUUUCCUCCAAAAUCACCAAGGCCUCAAUUUACUCACUGCUGAAAAGGGAGGACUCUGUAUAUUUUUAAAUGAAGAGUGUUGUUUUUACCUUAAUCAAUCUGGCCUGGUAUAUGACAACAUAAAAAAACUCAAGGAUAGAGCCCCAAAACUCGUCAACUAAGAAUAUAAUUAUGCUGAACCCCCUUGGGCACUCUCUAAUUGGAUGUCCUGGGUUCUCCCAAUUCUUAGUCCUUUAAUACUUGUUUUUCUCCUUCUCUUAUUCAGAAGUUGUGUCUGUCAUUUAGUUUCUCAAUUCAUACAAAACCACAUUCAGGCCAUCACCAAUAAUUCUAUAUGACAAAUGCUCCUUCUAACAACUCCACAAUAUCACCCCUUACCCCAAAAUAUUUCUUCAGUUUAAUCUCUCCCACUCUAGGUUCUCACACCACCCCAAUCCCACUUGGAGCAGCCCUGAGAAACAUUGCCCAUUAUCUCUCCAUACCACCCCAAAAAUUUUUGCCACACCAACACUUCACCACUAUUUUGUUUUGUUUUUCUUAUUAAUACAUGAAGACAGGAAUGUCAGGCCUCUGAACCCAAGCUAAGCCAUCAUAUCCCCUGUGACCUGCAUUUAUACAUCCAGAUGGCCUGAAGCAAAUGAAGAUCCACAAAAGAAGUAAAAAUAGCCUUAACUGAUGACAUUCCACCAUUGUCAUCUGCCCUACCCUAACUGAGAAGAUAUAUUCUCCCCCGCCCUUAAGAAGGUACUUUGUAUGCCUAUCCCAAACCUAUAAGAACUAAUGAUAAUCCCAGCGCCCUUUGAUGACUCUUUUUUCUGACUCAGCCCACCUGUACCCAGGUGAAAUAAACAGCCUUGUUGCUCACACAAAGCCUGUUUGGUGGUCUCUUCGCAAGGACGCAUGAGACAGCAUUUACUAUGCUAUUGAGAUUGCCUGUUGAACCUUUCUGCCUCCUCCAACAGAGAAUAAGUUUAUUGAAGGCAGAGAAUAUUUAUCCUUCACGCAGAACUUGAAAAAACAGUUAUAAUUUUUUAUUUUUUGAGACAGAGUCUUGCUCUGUUGCCCAGGCUGGAGUGCAAUGGCACCACCUCAGCUCACUGCAACCUCUGCCUCCCGGAUUCAAGCAAUUUUCCUGCCUCAGCCUCCCAAAUAUCUUGGAUUACAGGCACCUGCCUUCAUGCCCGGCUGAUUUUUGUAUUUUUGUAGAGACAAGAUUUCACCGUGUUGGCCAGGCUGGUCUUGAAGUCCUGACCUCAGGUGAUUCACCUGCCUCAGCCUCCUAAAGUGUUGGGAUUACAGGCGUGAGCCAACACGCUCAGCCAGUAUUUUUGAAUGAAUGAGAAAAUACAUUUUGGGACAUGCUUGGGACAUGUUGAAUUGAGGUAUUUAUGGGACACAGAAGGCAGAAGCAUCUGGUAAGAGCAGUGGUGUGCUGGUAAAUGUUUAUCAACUGGCUCUCAGUGGAAAAAGUUCCGAUUUGCAGCAUUUGUUGAAUUCCACAACAUCAACACUCCCACCGUUGGUAUUCAAGCUGCCAAUGUGGCAUUGCUAAAUAUAGAGUUGAGAAGAGAUGUGCACUGUUGGCUCUCACAAGUUGGUGUGAGCAGGCUCCAGCACACCACUGCCUGUGGGUAGGUGGAUUUAAGGGUAUGAGGUUCAGGAGUGCAAUGUGGGCUGGAGAGAUGGAUUUGGUGGUCAUCUUCGAAGUGAUGGUCAUUGGAGCUAGGGGAACAGCAAGAUAACCCAAGGAGUUGGUUCAGGGUCAAAAGGAGAGAACAGGAAUCGAAUUUGAUGCAAGGCCAACAUUUUAGGUAGCAUGUGGAAGAGGAGCAUCUUUGAAGGAGAAAGACGUGAAUGAAAAAAUCAUUCAGGAGAACAAUUCAGGAGAAAACCUGAAUGAUUUUCUCAUUCAGACAGGAAGACCUGAAUGAGAAAAUCAGGAGAGCCAGGUCAGAACAGUGUCAAGGAAGUCAGAGAAUAGGAAUUUUCAAGAAGAUUCUUCCCAUCGUAAAAAUUAUGCAGAGAGAUGCAGUAAUGCAAGGUCUGGAAAAUAUCUAUUAAGUUUCAAAGUUAGCAGGUUAUUAUUACUUAACCAGAAUAGUAAGGAGAGUGGCCAGAGUAUAGAGAGGAAAGUGAGAAGAGAGUGUAUAUGGUCAGGGAUGGUGGCAUUUUGGGUGUUGUAUUAGUUACCUAUUGCUGCAUAUCAAAUUACUUUAAAACUUAGUAGCUUAAGCCGGGCCCAGUGGCUCACACCUGUAA